rnacentral:rRNA from 1 species
AGCGAACGCUGGCGGCAGGCCUAACACAUGCAAGUCGAACGAACUCUUCGGAGUUAGUGGCGGACGGGUGAGUAACACGUGGGAACGUGCCUUUUGGUUCGGAAUAACUCAGGGAAACUUGUGCUAAUACCGAAUGUGCCCUUCGGGGGAAAGAUUUAUCGCCAUUAGAGCGGCCCGCGUCUGAUUAGCUAGUUGGUGAGGUAACGGCUCACCAAGGCGACGAUCAGUAGCUGGUCUGAGAGGAUGACCAGCCACACUGGGACUGAGACACGGCCCAGACCCCUACGGGAGGCAGCAGUGGGGAAUCUUGCGCAAUGGGCGAAAGCCUGACGCAGCCAUGCCGCGUGAAUGAUGAAGGUCUUAGGAUUGUAAAAUUCUUUCACCGGGGACGAUAAUGACGGUACCCGGAGAAGAAGCCCCGGCUAACUUCGUG